rnacentral:rRNA from 1 species
GGGUUGUGAGGUUAAGCGACUAAGCGUACACGGUGGAUGCCCUGGCAGUCAGAGGCGAUGAAGGACGUGCUAAUCUGCGAAAAGCGUCGGUAAGGUGAUAUGAACCGUUAUAACCGGCGAUGUCCGAAUGGGGAAACCCAGUGCAAUUCGUUGCACUAUCGUUAACUGAAUACAUAGGUUAACGAGGCGAACCGGGGGAACUGAAACAUCUAAGUACCCCGAGGAAAAGAAAUCAACCGAGAUUCCCCCAGUAGCGGCGAGCGAACGGGGAGCAGCCCAGAGUCUGAAUCAGCUUGUGUGUUAGUGGAACGGUCUGGAAAGUCCGACGGUACAGGGUGAUAGUCCCGUACACCAAAAUGCACAGGCUGUGAACUCGAAGAGUAGGGCGGGACACGUGGUAUCCUGUCUGAAUAUGGGGGGACCAUCCUCCAAGGCUAAAUACUCCUGACUGACCGAUAGUGAACCAGUACCGUGAGGGAAAGGCGAAAAGAACCCCGGCGAGGGGAGUGAAAAAGAACCUGAAACCGUGUACGUACAAGCAGUGGGAGCACCUUCGGGUGUGACUGCGUACCUUUUGUAUAAUGGGUCAGCGACUUAUAUUCUGUAGCAAGGUUAACCGUAUAGGGGAGCCGCAGGGAAACCGAGUCUUAACUGGGCGUUAAGUUGCAGGGUAUAGACCCGAAACCCGGUGAUCUAGCCAUGGGCAGGUUGAAGGUUGGGUAACACUAACUGGAGGACCGAACCGACUAAUGUUGAAAAAUUAGCGGAUGACUUGUGGCUGGGGGUGAAAGGCCAAUCAAACCGGGAGAUAGCUGGUUCUCCCCGAAAGCUAUUUAGGUAGCGCCUCGUGAACUCAUCUUCGGGGGUAGAGCACUGUUUCGGCUAGGGGGUCAUCCCGACUUACCAACCCGAUGCAAACUACGAAUACCGAAGAAUGUUAUCACGGGAGACACACGGCGGGUGCUAACGUCCGUCGUGAAGAGGGAAACAACCCAGACCGCCAGCUAAGGUCCCAAAGUCAUGGUUAAGUGGGAAACGAUGUGGGAAGGCACAGACAGCCAGGAUGUUGGCUUAGAAGCAGCCAUCAUUUAAAGAAAGCGUAAUAGCUCACUGGUCGAGUCGGCCUGCGCGGAAGAUGUAACGGGGCUAAACCAUGCACCGAAGCUGCGGCAGCGACACUAUGUGUUGUUGGGUAGGGGAGCGUUCUGUAAGCCUGCGAAGGUGACCUGUGAGGGUUGCUGGAGGUAUCAGAAGUGCGAAUGCUGACAUAAGUAACGAUAAAGCGGGUGAAAAGCCCGCUCGCCGGAAGACCAAGGGUUCCUGUCCAACGUUAAUCGGGGCAGGGUGAGUCGACCCCUAAGGCGAGGCCGAAAGGCGUAGUCGAUGGGAAACAGGUUAAUAUUCCUGUACUUGGUGUUACUGCGAAGGGGGGACGGAGAAGGCUAUGUUAGCCGGGCGACGGUUGUCCCGGUUUAAGCAUGUAGGCUGGUUGUCCAGGCAAAUCCGGAUAAUCAAGGCUGAGGUGUGAUGACGAGGCACUACGGUGCUGAAGUAACAAAUGCCCUGCUUCCAGGAAAAGCCUCUAAGCAUCAGGUAACAUUAAAUCGUACCCCAAACCGACACAGGUGGUCAGGUAGAGAAUACCAAGGCGCUUGAGAGAACUCGGGUGAAGGAACUAGGCAAAAUGGUGCCGUAACUUCGGGAGAAGGCACGCUGGUGUGUAGGUGAAGUCCCUGCGGAUGGAGCUGAGACCAGUCGAAGAUACCAGCUGGCUGCAACUGUUUAUUAAAAACACAGCACUGUGCAAACACGAAAGUGGACGUAUACGGUGUGACGCCUGCCCGGUGCCGGAAGGUUAAUUGAUGGGGUUAUCCGUAAGGAGAAGCUCUUGAUCGAAGCCCCGGUAAACGGCGGCCGUAACUAUAACGGUCCUAAGGUAGCGAAAUUCCUUGUCGGGUAAGUUCCGACCUGCACGAAUGGCGUAAUGAUGGCCAGGCUGUCUCCACCCGAGACUCAGUGAAAUUGAACUCGCUGUGAAGAUGCAGUGUACCCGCGGCAAGACGGAAAGACCCCGUGAACCUUUACUAUAGCUUGACACUGAACAUUGAGCCUUGAUGUGUAGGAUAGGUGGGAGGCUUUGAAGCGUGGACGCCAGUCUGCGUGGAGCCAACCUUGAAAUACCACCCUUUAAUGUUUGAUGUUCUAACGUUGGCCCCUGACCGGGGUUGCGGACAGUGUCUGGUGGGUAGUUUGACUGGGGCGGUCUCCUCCCAAAGCGUAACGGAGGAGCACGAAGGUUAGCUAAUCCUGGUCGGACAUCAGGAGGUUAGUGCAAUGGCAUAAGCUAGCUUGACUGCGAGCGUGACGGCGCGAGCAGGUGCGAAAGCAGGUCAUAGUGAUCCGGUGGUUCUGAAUGGAAGGGCCAUCGCUCAACGGAUAAAAGGUACUCCGGGGAUAACAGGCUGAUACCGCCCAAGAGUUCAUAUCGACGGCGGUGUUUGGCACCUCGAUGUCGGCUCAUCACAUCCUGGGGCUGAAGUAGGUCCCAAGGGUAUGGCUGUUCGCCAUUUAAAGUGGUACGCGAGCUGGGUUUAGAACGUCGUGAGACAGUUCGGUCCCUAUCUGCCGUGGGCGCUGGAGAAUUGAGGGGGGCUGCUCCUAGUACGAGAGGACCGGAGUGGACGCAUCACUGGUGUUCGGGUUGUCAUGCCAAUGGCACUGCCCGGUAGCUAAAUGCGGAAGAGAUAAGUGCUGAAAGCAUCUAAGCACGAAACUUGCCCCGAGAUGAGUUCUCCCUGAGACUUUAAGUCUCCUGAAGGAACGUUGAAGACGACGACGUUGAUAGGCCGGGUGUGUAAGCGCAGCGAUGCGUUGAGCUAACCGGUACUAAUGAACCGUGAGGCUUAACCUUACAACGCCGAAG